GGGAGCUGAGGCAUCCAGUUCCCAAACAUGCUCAGAGGACAGUGAAGGGGCUUCCAGCACUGGUAACACAGGCUUUACUGCAGCAGGCAGGGAACAGGCAUUCACAUGUAACUGAAGACACUGUAAUUCCUGUCUGGCCUCUUUUCCACCUGGAAGGAUAACUUUUACUGCAGCCAUGCCCUGGUCACUGGGAGUGCAUUUGUCCUCCCAGAUAAUUAGAAGUGCAGCGCAGUAGAUACCUGAUUCUGCAAACUCGUGCAAUGGAGUCAAAAGGACUUCUUCUACUUAACAAGACACAGUGAGUCAGAGGAAAGCCAGGAGACUCUUACGUAUAGCUUCAUUGCACCUCACCAAUAUUAUUUCAGUACUCCUCAACAACAAAAACAUGUAAAUAAAAUGCAUAUUUAGUUAUGCC